rnacentral:rRNA from 1 species
AUAAGCGCACACGGUGGAUGCCUUGGCGGUCAGAGGCGAUGAAGGACGUGGCAGCCUGCGAAAAGUAUCGGGGAGCUGGCAACAAGCUUUGAUCCGGUAAUGUCCGAAUGGGGAAACCCACCCGCUUGCGGGUAUCCUGCAGUGAAUACAUAGCUGCUGGAAGCGAACCUGGUGAACUGAAAUAUCUAAGUAACCAGAGGAAAAGAAAUCAACCGAGAU